GUAGGGUCCAAGCGUUAAUCGGAAUUACUGGGCGUAAAGCGUGCGCAGGCGGUUGUGCAAGACCGAUGUGAAAUCCCCGGGCUUAACCUGGGAAUUGCAUUGGUGACUGCACAGCUAGAGUGUGUCAGAGGGGGGUAGAAUUCCACGUGUAGCAGUGAAAUGCGUAGAGAUGUGGAGGAAUACCGAUGGCGAAGGCAGCCCCCUGGGAUAACACUGACGCUCAUGCACGAAAGCGUGGGGGGAGCAAACAGGAUUAGAUACCCUGGUAGUCCACGCCCUAAACGAUGUCAACUAGUUGUUGGGGAUUCAUUUCCUUAGUAACGUAGCUAACGCGUGAAGUUGACCGCCUGGGAGUACGGUCGCAAGAUUA
rnacentral:rRNA from 1 species